GUCAUCCGGAAGUGACCGUAGGCGGAAUGGUUGCCAUGGCAGCGGCCGGGGCGCUUGGCUGGGCGCAGGGAAGAUGGCGGUAACCGGUUGGUUGGAGAGUCUCCGGACCGCCGAGAAGACGGCGCUGCUGCAGGACGGGAGAAGGAAGGUGCACUAUUUGUUCCCAGAUGGAAAGGAAAUGGCCGAAGAAUACGAUGAGAAGUCAGGCGAACUACUUGUGAGAAAGUGGCGUGUGAAAAGUGCCCUGGGAGCCCUGGGCCAGUGGCAGAUUGAGGUGGGAGAGCCAGCACUCCCAGGAGCAGGGAGCCUGGGGCCUGAAUUCAUCAAGGAAAACAAUGCCAAUCCCAUCUUCAUGCGCAAGGACACCAAGAUGAAUUUCCAGUGGCGGAUUCGAAACCUCCCCUACCCUAAGGAUGUCUACAGUGUCUGUGUGAACCACAAAGAGCGCUGCAUCGUUGUCAGAACCACCAACAAAAAGUACUACAAGAAGUUCUCCAUUCCUGACCUAGAUAGACACCAGCUACCUCUGGAUGAGUCCUCGCUGAGCUUUGCUCAUGCCAACUGCACGCUGAUCAUCUCUUACCAGAAGCCAAAGGAGAUCCUGGUGGCUGAGGCAGAGCUUCAGAAGGAGCUAAAGAAAGUGAAGACAGCCCACAGCAGUGAUGGGGACUGGACCUCCAACAUUAAAAGCCUUUCGCAUAAAGGGAGGCAUGAGUCUUAGGUGGAGCAGAGGUGGGGGAAGCUCAGAGUUGACGCAAACAGGUUGGGGAAGAUGCCCGCUCGGCGCUGCUGGGCUCAGAGGAAGACUGGGCUGGAAGAGACCCUGUGCCACCUUAGCUUGCAGAAGUGGCCCAGAUGAAUUCCCUAAGAUGUGGAAACCGAGGCCCAGAGUGCCCCCCACCCAUAUCACAGAGCUAAGAAGCGGCAGAGUUAGUUCGAGAACCCAAGUCUGUCUGACCACACAGCCUGUGUGCCCUCCGUAGCUCCUCACAGCCUCCCAUCACACACCAGAGGAGGGGUUCCUUGGCCUCAGCCCCACGCAGAAGCAAGAAGUUUGCCGGUGGCAGGAGUUUGGCAGGGGAGUCACGGGAACGACAUUCACAGACUGCAGGCGCUCCAACGUCCCAGAGGCCACAGGACAAAGGAUCCCUUGGAAGUUUUAGCUGAGCUGUGCCGACAACAGUAGGAUGUGACCAUCAGCUACACUAACAAAAGCAAAAGAUCUAGAAUAAGGAGGGGAUAGCGCCUGCCACUCAUCAUCUCACACCCGGCACGUUCAGUACUCGGUUGCGAACAUCCCAUUUCAAGAGGGAUCCAACCAGAUAAAUGCAAGAAACUUUCAGGUGAGAAUGGUCCUAAAACGAAUGUGAGACCCACACAGUAGGGUCACCCUCCCAGCUAUUCCUCACUUACUUUCUUGCUGACCCAAAUCUGAUUCUGUGCCCACCGCUCCCAUCCUCCUUGCCACUAUGCACGUGGGGGAAGCUGGGCUCUUCCCCAGACCCAGGUCAAUCUUGACUGGUGAUUCCAUUUCCCUUGCCACGGUUUGAUUCAGGGUGAGUAACGGAAUACACUUUUGGCUCACUCAAUAUGAGGAGUCUGCUUGGGGGCUCCUAUAAAAGGACUCCCCAUCUUAAAAAGAGACCCAGGUAGGGACAAGUCCUCUUCCUUCCUUUCUCCCUCUGGGUAUUUUGCCUCAUGAGCAGGUAGAGCUUUUGUGAACAAGCCUGAGGAUAAGGGCAAAACCCACGUUGACAGAGGGGGCAAAGCGGAAAGCUGAGAAGAUGGGCCCUCAGCCUCUCACUGAGCUACUGCACCCGUCAAUCCUGGAACCAGCGAAGCUUCCAGCUCCUGGGGACUCCUUGUCACUUACGAUAAUAAUAAUCUCUUUAUUGUUGGAGCCACUUUGAAGUAGGCCCUCAAUACUUCCAGCCAAAAGCACCCUAACUGAUGUACUGUGUGUAUAAGCAACAGCAGAAGGGCCUCAGACUUUCAGCCUGAUAAAGAGAAGACACUGGAGAAACAGGACCAAAGAUUUCAGAUAUUUAAAGCCCUGUCUUCAGAGGCAAGGUUCAACUUGCUUCUUGCCUAGAAUCAUAGCCCCUGGAAGCAGGUCAACUCUCGAUGAAGGACAGGUGUGAUAACUCUCAGGGCUCUCCAAAGAUGUAAUGUGGUGUCUGGGAGAGUUGCGAGUUUCCUAUCCCUGUGGUUGGAUGACCGUUAAGAGAAUGUUGUAGAAAAAACCAUAUUUAACUAAAACAGCUCACGUGUUAAAAAAGAAAAACUCUUUUGGAAGACUGACAAUACAAUGGAUUUUUCAGGGGGCAAAAAGAUGGGUACCACUUUCCCGGGGAUACAGAGAGGAAAGGAGACAAGCUAGAGUCACUGAGGCAGGAGACAGACAAGAACAGAACAUCCUCGCUGCUGCUGUAGAUCGCGGUGCUGAACCAGAGCACGGGACCUGGGGCCAGGUGCAGACGGUCUUAGACUUGACCCCACAAGCACAAUUGACAAAAAAAAAAAAUAAUUUGGACGCCAUCAAAAUGUAAAACUUUGGUCUUUUAUCCUGUUAAGAGGAUAAAAAGACAAGCUCCAGACUUAAAGAUAGAGGCAAACCACAUAUCUGAAAAAGGAUUCAUUUCUAGAAUAUAUAAAGAACUCCCCAAACUCACCAGUGAAAAAGCAAACCGUUCAAUUAGAAAAUCGCCAAAAGACACGAGCAGAGAUUCCACCAAAGAGAACAUACAGAAGGCAAAUACACACACGAAAAGAUGUCAUUGGCUAUUAAGGAAAUUCAAAUUAAAGCCACGAGAUACCACACCUCUUAGAAUAGCUAAGACAAGAAAGAGCAGCAAUUCCAAAUGCUGUCAAGGAUGGGAAGAAACUACAUCUCUCAUACCCUGGAGUUGGAUUAUAAAAUGGUAAAUAUAUUCACAAUAGUUUGACAGGUAAAAAAUUAAACACACACUUACCAAAUGACCUGGCACUUGGACUCUGGGGCAUUUAUCCCAGAGAAAUGAAAACAUGUGUCCACACAAAAGAUCAUAUGCAAAUGUUCAUGAGAGCUUAAUUUGCAAUAGUCAAAAAAUUGAACAUAACCCAAAUGCCCUUCGGUGGGUGAAUGCUGUUCAGUGGGAGAGAACUUUGGGGCGUCCACACCAGGGAAUACUACUGAGCAAUAAAAAGGAAGGCGCCAUUGAUACAUAGGACGAGUGCUAUGGCUCUCAUGAGAACUAUGCUGGGUUAACGGGGGUGGGGACCAAAUCACAAAAGGUAUUCCACUUAUAUAACACCUCCAAGCUGCCAGAAGUAAAGAGGUGGAAAACACGUAAGUGGCUGCGAGAGGUUAGAGACGAGGGAGUUUAAGAGGGCAGGGGAGGAAGAUGGUGUGGCUGUACAUGGGCAAGUGGGGAAUCCGCCAGUUCUGUAUCCUAACUGUUGUAGUAGUUACGUGAAUCUACACAUGGGAUAAAAUUGCAAAGAAACACACACACACACACACACACACACACACACACACAGAAAUGAGUGCAAUCUGAAUAAAGGUCUGUGGAUUAUACCAAUGUCAAUUUCCUGGUUCUGAUUAUAAUAUAAUAUAACAUAAUAUAAUAUAAUAUAGAAAUUACUUAUAAAUAAUUGAUAUCAAAUUUAUAUUUAUUAUAUUAUCUAACGUAACACAGGUACCUUGCUGUCCUAUUUUUGGAACUUCCUAUGAAUCUCUAAUUAUUUCAAAAUAAAAAGCUUAAAAAAAUCCAA